rnacentral:misc_RNA from 1 species
UCGAUUCGCUUUGGCUGUGCGCCUCUGGCUGCACGCCGAAUGCCAUUAUCACACACACUUGUGCACCUCGGGCGUGGCAACACGUUCGCCUUUUUCACAUCUCACAACGAACCCGAAUGUCUUAUAACGUUAAAACGAAUA